UCCCUUUUGAGCUUGCUUGAAUGCACAUA
rnacentral:piRNA from 1 species